CUCUUCUAGUAGGGGAGGGAAGUUAGAGAAACAGGUCUCUUCUUAGUAGGGGAGGGAAGUUAGAGAAACAGGUAUCUUCUUAGUAGGGGAGGGAAGUUAGAGAAACAGGUAUCUUCUUAGUAGGGGAGGGAGGUUAGAGAAACAGGUCUCUUCUUAGUAGGGGAGGGAAGUUAGAGAAACAGGUCUCUUCUAGUAGGUGAGGGAGGUUAGGGGCCUACAACUGUUUUAUAUUAAAGCUUUUGUUGCUGUGAGUACUGUACCUUUAGCGAAUCAACACGGCUGUGUGUACCUUUAGCGAAUCAACACGGCUGUGUUUGUAGUGCUCUACCAUUUGCUGAGAACUACCCAGGAGUCACCUGUGUGUUGUAGUAUUAGCUAAACCUCAAGGGUUGUUACUUUCUGUUUCUGCCCGUUCACAUUUGACAUAUUCAGCUCAUAUAUUGCAAACAAGAUGAUCUUAUCACAUUGCAUUUCUUUCUCGCUUAGCUUGAACAGAGUUCAAAUCCCUUAGCCUCUCGUCUUUCCCCGUCUUCACAGAGUUCAAAUCCCUUAGCCUCUCGUCUUUCCCCGUCUUCACAGAGUUCAAAUCCCUUAGCCUCUCGUCUUUCCCCAUCUUCACAGAGUUCAAAUCCCUUAGCCUCUCGUCUUUCCCCGUCUUCACAGAGUUCCAGUCACUUAACUUCUUCUCCAUGUCUCUCCAGGUGCUCCAGUCGUGACAUCCUUUCCUCAUUUCUACCUGGGAGAUGAGAAGUACUCUAAUGCCAUUGUGGGACUGGAUCCUGUCAGAGAGCAUCACCAGACCUACCUGGACCUGAACCCGGUACACAACUCUGUAGUGUUCACUUCUCCGGCGGUCCAAUGGAUCAUCCACUUUAAAAUCCCAGAAGUGUUUGUUACGAACCCCUUUUGCCCUGCAGUCUAGGGGGGGGUGGAAACGAGACCCGUAACAUAUCUCAUGCAAAUCACACAAGUGAAAAAGUAACAGUGAGAACGAAAAACCACAGACAACUUAAAUCUACCGUCAAAAACGUAUUUCAAAACACACGGUAAAUGGGGUGUGGGAAAAAAGGGGCUGAGCUGGACCCAAGGAAAGAAAGAAAUAUAAAAAAAAACCUAAGCUAGUCUAGCCUGCUUUAAGAACAGCUAGCUAACUAACCAAUAAAUACAGUGGGUGGUCCACCCAGUUCUAAUUAGGGGAUUUAGACACUGUUUUCCUACGGGUAAUGUAGGCCCAUGGACGACUUGGCUGGUUGUCCCCUUUUCCCACCAACAAACAAACAGUCAUACACCGUAACAAUACAAUACUCACAGGAUAACGGACAAAGUGACAUGUAGGCGCAAAAAAAACAAAAAGACAGAUCUCUAAAGACAACUGAUUGGGUUUCUUUUAAACCAAGGGAUGUGAUUGGGUAAGGGAAAAGGAGCAGGUGUGUCUUCUGAUUGGCGACUGAUUAGGGAAUGAUGAUUGCCACCUGUGAGUAGGGGAGAAGGAGAGAAUAGAAAUACACACAGGAUACCUGUAUCCGUAACAGUGUUACAUAGAUCAUCCACUUUAAUAUUCCAAUAGUGUUACAUUUGUGUAAUUGGGAAUUACACCAACUGCGAAGGAUGAAUUAAUGUUCUCACAUUACCAGGUUAUAAUUAUUGAUGUUUAAUCGAGACAUUACCAGGUUAUAAUUAUUGAUGUUUAAUCUAGACAUUACCAGAUUAUAAUUAUUGAUGUUUAAUCUAGACAUUAAUCAAGUAUCCAGUACAUUGAGCGUUACACCUGCAGUUCACAUGGCUCAUCAAAACUGUGUCUGUGUUAUUCUACACUUCCAGACCACUGGUGUUCCUAUCCGUGCCAGUAAGAGAGCUCAGAUCAACAUCCUCAUAAACAGAAUCUCUGGCUUCCCGUGAGUACAUAUAGUCUCUGUUUCUGAACCAUUUCCAUCUCACAACCACCACACAAGUUCAGCUAGCUAAAGACGGUAGUCUCUUGUUUCUGAAUGAUUUCCUUCUUUUGUUUAAUUAUUUCCGUUUCACAACCACCACCCAAGUUCAACUAGCAAUAAUAAAGCUCAUAAUCUUUAUGAUAUCUAUAUUAUUUCCUUCCAUUGUUUAAUAAUUUUCUUACAAUCGAUUUUCCUUCACAGGAAAACCAAAUCCCUGAACGAGACUAUCUUCCCUGUCAUGUUUAUCAACGAGGUGACAUAAUCACAUUUCAUGGACUCCACAAAAAUAUACAACUUUUGUAGAAUAUGACGUUUCAAUUCAGAAAAUGUUCAUUUUAAUCCGAGCAUUAAUCGCAUUAAGUGUUUUCUUCAGACGGUAGUGAUCGACGACGUGUCGGCGGCGAAGCUCCACAAGCUGUUGCUAAUGGUGUCGCUGGUGUCCAACUUCCCUCUCGUCCUGGUUGGUCUGGGGGCCAUCCUGUUGCUGGUGUUCAUCGGCCUCAUCGUCUGCGAAUGCAAACAGAAGGUAUGACACACCCAUGUUUCUUCCCUUUUUUACUUAACCAGGCAAGUCAGUUAAGAACAAAUUGUUAUUUACAAUGACGGCCUAGUAACAGUGGGUUAACUGCCUUGUUCAGGGGCAGAACGACAGAUUUUUACCUUGUCAGCUCGGGGAUUCGAUCUAGCAACCUUUCGGUUGCUGGUCCGACGCUCUAACCACUAGGCUACCUGCCGCCUCCUUUCUUAGUUCCCCUUGCUUUUGUAUAUAUUUUUUUUUUAUAUAGAACAGUGAAAGACUGGUGGGAAAGUUCAGCGGAGAGGGGAGCGGGUGUGUUAGAAUAACAGUGGGACUGAAUCAAACCCACGCUCACACAGGCAGAUAUAUUCUGUUGGCAGCAGAUUAGACCACCCCAGGAUGCUGACCUGUGUUUCUCUGGGAAGAUAGAGUGUUGAGGGCCUGUGUCAGAGAGGAGCAGGACAACAGUGUUCUUCUCUAAUCAAUAAACUAUAGUUAGAGCCCAGAGCUGUUCCUGGUCAAGUCACGUAGUCAAGAAUAAGUCCUGGCCCUCAACUAUAAAGUACUUUAAAAAGGCAGCAAGAAAUGCCACAAAGGGGAAAGUGAAAGUCAUGUUGUAGACAGAAUAGGUACGCCAACUAAAUUUAUAGAGAUCCUAUUAAAAGACUAGAGGCUAGGUCAUGAACCCUAAAAGAUGGCUGUUACUAGGUAACCCGAUGUCCAUUCCAGUGUUCCUAUAUCUUUUUCUAUGAGGAGACACUGAAGAAUAGAGAAUACAGUAGAACUUAAGGCUGUGGUUUGGUUCAUCACAAGACACUUCUUCUCUCAACAUGAUGCAGCUACUUUGUUCUUUACUGUAAUAUUUCUAACCAGUUGUUAACAUCUUUCUUUCACAGCACGUUUUUGUAAAGGUCUUAAUGCAUUCUGCAUCAUAACAUUAAACUCAAUCUAAUAUUUGAAAAGAAAAUAGGUCUCAAAUUGACUUCAAGGUACUAACAUGUUUGUGUAACUUAACUUCUCUGGGCUAGGUGGGACGGGACCGUCAGACACUAUUCAACAGCCAGUGAAAUAGCACGGUGCGAAAUACAAAACAGCAAAAAUAUCAUAAUUUCAUUUUCUCAAACAAUCAACUAUUUUACACCAUUUUAAAGAUAAGACUCUCGUUAAUCUAACCACAUUGUCCGAUUUCAAAAAGGCUUUACAGCGAAAGCAUAGAAUUAGAUUAUGUUAGGACAUAAACUUCACAAGAAAAUCCACAUAGCCAUUUUCCAAGCAAGGACAUGCAUCAUAAAAACCAAAAGUACAGCUAAAAUAUUCACUAACCUUUGAUGAUCUUCAUCAGAUGGCACUCAUAGGACUUCAUGUUAUACAAUUGCUCGAUAAAGGUCAUAUUUAUAUCCAAAAACAGCAUUUUACAUUGGCGCGUGAUGUUCAGAAAAUGUAUUCCCACCAAAACUUCCGGUGAAUGUGCACAUCAAUUUACAAAAAUACUCAUCAUAAACGAAAGAAUUAUAGAUACACUACCCCUUGACGCAACCGCUUUGUCAGAUUUCAAAAUAACUUUACGGAGAAAGCACAUUGUUCACUAUUCUGAGUACAUAGCUCAGCCAUCGAAGCAAGCUAUACAGCUACCCGCCAAGUUCUGGCAUCAACAAAACUCAGAAUUAGUAUUAUAAAUAUUCUCUUACCUUUGCUGAUCUUCGUCAGAAUGCACUCCGAGGACUCCUACUUCCACAAGAAAUGUUUGUUUUGUUCGAAAUACUCCAUAUUUAUGUCCAAAUACCUCCGUUUUGUUCGUGUGUUCAGAUCACUAUCCAAAGGCAUAAUGCGCGAGCGCAGUACCAGAGACGAAAAGUCAAAAUGUUCCAUUACCGGUCGUAGAAACAUGUAAAACGUUGUUUACAAUCAAUCCUUAGGGUAUUUUUAACAUAAAACGUCGAUAAUAUUCCAACUGGACAAUAGCGUAUUCAUUACAGAAGAAAAAGAAGGAGGGGCGAGCUCGCGGGAUCGCAUAUCACCAAGUCCUUUGUCCUCAGACAGUCCACUCAUUGACUGAGCUACUAUUCUCUGCCCAGUAACAAGAGAAAGAUGGAAAAACUUUCUGAAGGCUGUUGACAGCCAAUGGAAGCCUUAGGAAGUGCAACGUGGUCACGGAAAAGAAAAAAAAACGAGUUAAGUUACUGCCUUUUUUCCUCCUC
rnacentral:lncRNA from 1 species